GUUUUUUGUUAUCCUAAAAGACUGCCUGAAAGUGAAGCUAACAAAUGGAGGCCCUCCCUCAGUGGAGAACAUCUCCAUGGGAGCAUCCUCCCCACACCGCUCCUCCACUGUCAUGAUUUAAUGUCCCACACCGCCACCUGGUGUCCGCCGGAGCAGCUGCACUCCCCCCCGCUGAGCGCUCACACGAGCUUGUCGCUGCGAGGUCUGCAGGCUCUCCUCCGCCGCUUUCUCGCAGCCUGAGCGGGGCUCCUUCUCCCUCACAUACCCGGACUGCCAUCCCUCCUCUCACCGCCUUCCAGGAACACCUCAAAGGGGACUUAAAACUGCUUCCCCCCCCCCCCGACGCUGUUCUUCCUUUGAAAUCCCGUCAUGGUUUGCCUGUGCUGUGAAUAAAGAUCUGCGGUGAAAAGAGAGCGAGAGACAGAGAGCCUCCCCUCUUCAGCUGCUACACACCAGGUGUGUAGGAGCCUGUAAUGAUGUCCUGGGAGGCUGGCUGGCUUUACGAGUGAACCCUGGCACCGAGCACGCACCACACCAGGCCUCACACCUCUGCCUCAGACCGGACCUUAUUAAUUCCCUCUGAGUGACUCUGUUCCUUUCUCCCUCACUGGACUACGGGCCCCGACACAGCUGGU